AUGGUUGGUUUCUUUUGAGGUAAAAACUCAUGUAAGGUUGGCCUCAAACUUGCUGUGCAGCUGAGGUGUGCUUUGAACUCCUGAUCCUCAUGCCUCCAAGCCAGAUACUUAAAUUGUGACUGGCAUGCAUGGUAUAUAUCUGUAAAAUUCCAGCACCUGAGAGAAAGCUGAGGCAAAAAGGUUGCCAUGAGUACAAGACUAGUCCGAAACAAAAGGGAAAAAAGCAGAACAGGGGAAUGGCACAGGCCUUUAGUUUCAGUACUCAGGAAGCUGAGGCAGGCAGGUCUCUAUGAAUUUGAGACCAGCCUGGUCUGUAUAACAAGUUCUAGGGCAACCAGGGAUACAGAAUGAGACCCUGUCUCGAGGGAAAAAAAGCAAGAAAUUCUUUAAUUCAGCUUGGGUGUACAAGCCUGUAACCCCACCACUCGGGAGAACUAGAGUUCAAGGCUAGCCUUGACUACAUAGUUUGUAACCAGCCUGUGCAGCAAUCAGACCUUGACUAGAAAAUUUUAAACUAGACACUUAUUAACACUAAAUAUUCACAUAUCAUCAGUUUCAUUUAAGCAAGAUCUUGUUAGUAUAUUAUAUGGGAGAAACUUGAGGUGGCAAAAGAUGAAUAUAAUUAAGAUAUUAUGGCAAGCUACAGAAAGGAAAGCAUGACUCUGAUGGCUAGGUGGCUUUUGUGAAAGGGUCUCAUGUAACAAGGCUGGUCUCACACUUGACUUUGAACUUCUGAUCUCUCUGCUUUGACCUCCCCCCGCUGGGAUUAUAGGUGUGUUCUAUCAUGUCCAGUUUUAUACAGUGCUGUCUGCCAGGCAAGCAAGCAUUCUUCCUAGUCAGCCACAAUCCCAGACCUUAGAUAAUGAGACUUCAUGCAUCGAUGUUUUGUGGCAUUCUGUUUCAAAUGUCACUUAAGGUUUUUUCCACCCAAGCAACAAUUUUUCUGAAUUAGCCUGCAUAUUUUUCAUAUUUUCUAAUAUAGUAGUGUUGUAUUCAACUGUACCAAUAAGCCCCCAAAAGUAGUUCUUAAAAUAAAUCGUCCAGACUCUUUUAAAUCUUGGAAGAUGUUAAAUUUCACAUCUCAAACAUUAUUUGAAGAAUUAAACUUCAGAGAGAGAUUUUAAAAGCUUGUUUAGCUUAGUUUAGAACUUCCUGUGUGCUUGUCUAUAAUUUUCAGAGAAACAUAAACAGCAGAGUGGUUAUGAGCAUGGAAGUUUAAGGUUAGACCUAAUCUUGAAUCCUAACUUGGAAAUUUCCUAGCUCUGUGAUCUUGGAGAAAUUACAUAAUCUUUCUAUUGAUGCUUCUCAAAGUAUAAAUUAAGUAAUUAAGGGUAAUACUGGCACUUUUUAGGGGGCAGGGUCAGUUUGUGAAUCGAGUUAGCUUCUGCUUAGAAAUAGGCAUUGCCAAGAAGUUAAGAGCAGUCAGUUCUCAGUAAGUGUCUCUGUUAUCUUUGAUGUUAUGCGAUGUUUUUAAGAAUUAACCAUGGGUGUCAGUAGAUCUGUUGAUUGGAACUUGUACCAUUUCUGUUAAAGUUGAUCACAUCUAGACCUUCCAUUGACCUAUAGCCAGUGGCUAGUUUUAGCAUAGAUUCUAUCAUACUUUUUUUUUUUUUUUUAAGAUUUGUUUUGUUGUGGUUUGGUUUUGAGACAGGGUUUCUCUGUGUAGCCCUGGCUGUCCUGGAACUCACUCUGUAGACCAGGCUGGCCUCGAACUCAGAAAGCUGCCGGCCUCUGCCUCCCAAGUGCUGGGAUUUAAAGGCAAGCACCACCACUGCCCGGCUUUUUAAAAGAUUUUAUUUACUUAUAUGAGUACUGUAGCCAUCUUCAGACACAUCAGAAGAGGCCAUCGGAUCCCAUUACAGAUGAUUGUGAGCCACCAUGAAGUUGCUGAGAGUUGAACUCAGGACCUCUAGAAGGGCCAUCUCUCCAGCCCCUCUAUCAUAGUUCUUAAUAGUCUGAAUUAUAUUUGAGGUUUGAAUUUUUGUGUGUGUUUUAUUUAUGGAUAGCAAUGCCUCACUAGAGAAAUAGGGGCUCUCUCCAUGAGGAGAGAGAUACAUUCAAGCAUGGAAAUGAGAGGAAGCACACAUGGCAAAACUUUGUCCACACAGAUUCAAGACCUAGCUGAAGUAGCUCAGCGUUGGAUGGCAUAGAAUUCUGAGCUCAAUGUAACACAAAUGUUGUAUUCCAUCCCUCUCUCAGCCAGGUUCUGAGGUGGUGAUCCAAGGAAGCAAGAAGGAAUAUGAUUAUAGACCAGGGGCCCUGGUUAGUGUUCAUUUUCUACAGAACUAUAAAUAAUAUUGCAGAAGGCCAGCGUGGUUCGUUAUAAAUAGGCCCUCGUCAGAACUGCUGACCCUGGGAUGGUGACUAUUUUCAUUCUAAGCUCUCUAACCAACCCUGAAGUCACCUCCGCUGCUUUUUUCUUUUGAGUAAAGAAAGCUCUGCAGCCUUAACUCUGCUCUUGCGUGCAGUCUGUCCUGAAAUACAUUUCUCUCACAAGGGAAGCUGUGAUCACAGAUGUGACUGGAAUGAGAAGAGCAACCAGCCAUGUACCCUAGUACUCAGCAGACCUGGUUGGGAGCUGCAUCUUCCCGCUCUGGGACUGUUAGUCUGCUGGCUACAGAGUUCCUAUUCCUGGCUAAGCUGUGGAUUGAAGCUCCCAGCAGGUGUAAGGACACACACUACAGAUGUAUUCUGGAAAGCUUUUCAAAUCUUUCCACCUGGCCCUGCUCAGUGUUAGGCUGUUGGGUAGGCCAGAAAGCCAAGGAAGUGCCUUCUCCUGCUGAUAUUUGGAAUAUUAUAUCUUCCACAUUUAGGCUAGCACUACCUAAUAUUUACUAAUAUUUUUUAACUAAGGAAAAUGAAGGACGUUAUUUAAAGUUGGCUUUUCAAAACCCCCAGAAGGGCAGUGUUCCUUUAAAACUCAGAACAAAAGCAAUUUUUCCAUGUUAGCGGUGAGCAUCGACAGUACACUGAUUUGUAUCUGGGUUUUCUUUUUCCACAAGUCUGUGCCUAGUUUCCACCUUGCCUGGUUUCCCAAAAUCUCCACUUUUCUUCCACUUAUUUCUGUUAGCUCAAGGGUUUUGAAUUUCUGUUCCUACUUUUCUCCUGUUGUCAGUUUUAAACGUAUUUUGUUUCUGUUUUCCUUUUUAUAUGUAUUCCUUUAUGUCGCUAUUCUGUUUCCUACUUAAGCUUCCCUCCUUGGUGAUUCUCCUUGAUGAUCAUAGCCUUUCUCUGGGACAUCUCCAUCCUGAGAUGCCUGCUCUGCUCCACAAACAGGGCUCUGGCCCUUCUCGCUGUGGAUCAGUUUUUAGACUGCUCUCGUCUCAGGACUCAUUGAGUUUCUCCAUCCACCCUGUCUUCUUUCAUUUCACUUGUGAUAUCAGCUACCUACUUCAUUUUGGAAAAAGAUUUGCACCAUUUUGCUGUGGGUUAUUUCCAUGCAUGCUGGUACAUAAAUCCUAACCGUUUUUUGGUUUUUGGUUUUUGGGUUUUUUGUUUGUUUGUUUGUUUGGUUUUCGAGACAGGGUUUCUCUGUAUAGCCCUGGCUGUCCUGGAACUCACUCUGUAGACCAGGCUGGCCUCGAACCUGCCUCUGCCUCCCGAGUGCUAGGAUUAAAGACGUGCGCCACCACGCCCAGCAAAUCCUACCCUUUCUUAAUUGCUCAAUAAAUUGCUUGUAAUCAGUAAUGAAGAAAAGUCUAAAAUUAAAGUAUUUAAGUUUGUGACCUAAAAAUAACAUUCUGAUAGUUUAAAACAGAAAGAAAAAACCAAGUAGUGUUUGGAAUAUGUUUAAACGUACCUAAAAGGUAUGAAAGGUCAAAAUAUUAAUCAAAUAGCCAGUUAUCUUUUAAACAGCAGGUAAAGUACAUGUGCCUUAGGAUUGCUAUUGCUAUGAAGAACAGCAUGACCAUGGCAACUCUUAGAAAAGAAAACAUUUCAUUGGGGCUGGUUUACAUUUCAGAGGUUUAGUCCAUUAUCAUCAUAGAGGUAAGCAUGAGGUUGUACAGGGAGACAUUGUACUGAAGAAGGAGCUGAGAUUCUACAUUUAGAUCUGCAGAGAGGAAAGAACUGUGUAUCACUUGCCCUGGUUUGAAUUUCUCAAAGCCCACCCCUAGUGAAGUACUCCCUCUGAAAAAGCCACACCUAUUCCAACAAGGCCACACCUAUUACCGCCUCUCCCUCUAGGGGCCAUUUCCUGCUAACUUCCACAGUGUGUGACUUUUUGUACUGUGCUGUCUUAACAAACUGAGAGUAAGUACCAAGGUUGGUGUACCAAGAUUAACAAACUGAGAGUAAGUACCAAGGUUGGUGUACCAAGGUUAACAAACUGAGAGUAAGUACCAAGGUUGGUGUACCAAAGUUAACAAACUGAGAGUAAGUACCAAGGUUGGUGUACCAAGGUUAACAAACUGAGAGUAAGUACCAAGGUUGGGGAACAGUUUUCACAUCUCCAGAAUCUAUGUGCUCUUUGUUUUUCAUCGGCAGGAAAGUUUCUCCAGUAGCAUUAGGCUUCCGGUUUGUCAAGACUAUGAGCUGGGAACCUGACUCUGGAGUAGGGACUUAUUUUAUACCCUUCCAAUAGCUUCUGCCCCAUUACCUAUCUGUAAGGUGGAAUAGAGAAACCAGCUUACCUUUGUGUCUCAAAUGUCCGGCACUCCAGAGGGAGUUCUGAGCGUCCCUUCAGUAUUGUGAGACACAGCACUGAUAACACAAAAGUCAGUAGAGGUGCUGACAUAACCUCCAUGUGUCUAAAUGCUGACAUGUGGCAACAGACCUAACUGUGCUUGGAAUCUUUAUAUAAAAGACAAACUGCAAACUAGUACAGAGAUAGGUAAGUGCCAUCUCUGGAUAAGAAAGCACAUUAUUUCAAAAUUAUCCUGUAAAGUUAAUAUGUUCCAAUAUAAAUGCCAUAGAAAGAGAAGGAAACAUGCAAACAAAACUUGCCAGCAUCGUUCCUGAUAAAAGAUAAACGGGUGCUAGAGGUGUGGUUGUAGAAGAGUACCUAGUGUGUGCUGAACCAUGGGUUCUAGCCUCAGCAGGCCAAAGAGAAUAAAAGAACAUAAAAGAGCACAGCUCCACACCUGAGGUGCGGCUUAUCCAUAGUGAUAGGAAAAGCAGGAAACUUGGCAGGGUAGGGGAGCAGUAGCUGUCCAUAGGAGAAACCUAAAGAGUACAACCUCAACCUGAUGGUCACGGGUAACGUUAGCUGUCAUUGAGCCAUGUUAGUGUGUCACCACAUGUGAUGACAAUCCUUCAGAACCUUUAAACCGCAUCUUAUGGUAAGAAAAACAUCAUGUUGUAGUGGCACGACACACAGCAAAGACCUAACUGGCACUCCUCAAAAUUCACCAGGGAUCAAAACAAGGACUUAUGGGCAUCCUGACCUGGAGAGACAGUGGAAUGGGUAAAUCACUUGCUACAUGAGAGUGAGAACCUGAGUUCAAAUCCCCAGAAACCAUGAAGGAAAAAAAAAAA